AAAUUAUUUGUUAGUUGACGAUGCAAUCAGCAUGCUGAUUAAGGUCGCUUGGUUUUUUACCAAACAUUAACUGAAUGAAAGCGGUUAGCCCGCGUUGUUCUGCUUGGGGGGCUCCGGCGAAGCAAAUGGACUUUAAGAACAGCGACUGUCAAUAAAGAGAACCAACGCAACAAACCCUGGUGGCAUUAGCGCACAAUGGGGAGGCGGCUGCGGUUCUGUGCGUGCUGACUGUAUAUAUUCACCCGCCGAGUCCUCCGGUCGAUCCGAAGAUCGGCAGCGCGUGCGCUGCUCUAAGACAGCGUUUAUCGGUUCGGUCGGCAGUUGGCUUUGCUCUGCGGAUUUACGGGGGGCAGAAAUGCGAGUUUAAAUAAGUAAAUGAAUAAAUAACGACGAGUCU
rnacentral:lncRNA from 7 species